rnacentral:rRNA from 1 species
AGAGUUUGAUCAUGGCUCAGAGUGAACGCUGGCGGCGUGCUUAACACAUGCAAGUCGAACGAGAACGGGUCUAGCUUGCUAGACUGUCAGCUAAGUGGCGAACGGGUGAGUAAUAUAUAGCUAAUGUGCCCUUUACUGGGGGAUAACAGUUGGAAACGACUGCUAAUACCCCAUACUCCUUCUUUACAUAUGUAUAGUUGGGAAAGUUUUUUCGGUAAAGGAUCGGGCUAUAUGGUAUCAGCUUGUUGGUGAGGUAAGAGCUCACCAAGGCUAUGACGCCUAUCUGGUCUGAGAGGAUGAUCAGACACACUGGAACUGAGACACGGUCCAGACUCCUACGGGAGGCAGCAGUGGGGAAUAUUGCACAAUGGACGAAAGUCUGAUGCAGCAACGCCGCGUGGAGGAUGACACAUUUCGGUGCGUAAACUCCUUUUAUGUGAGAAGAUAAUGACGGUAUCACAUGAAUAAGCACCGGCUAACUCCGUGCCAGCAGCCGCGGUAAUACGGAGGGUGCAAGCGUUACUCGGAAUCACUGGGCGUAAAGCGCGCGCAGGCGGCUUUGUAAGUUGGAUGUGAAAUCCUAUGGCUCAACCAUAGAACUGCAUCCAAAACUACUUAGCUAGAGUCUGGGAGGGGAAGAUGGAAUUAGUUGUGUAGGGGUAAAAUCCGUAGAGAUAACUAGGAAUACCAAAAGCGAAGGCGAUCUUCUGGAACAGUACUGACGCUGAGGCGCGAAAGCGUGGGGAGCAAACAGGAUUAGAUACCCUAGUAGUCC